rnacentral:rRNA from 1 species
GCCCUACGGGAGGCAGCAGUGGGGAAUAUUGCACAAUGGGGGAAACCCUGAUGCAGCGACGCCGCGUGAGUGAAGAAGGUCUUCGGAUCGUAAAACCCUGUUGUUAGAGAAGAAAGUGCGUGAGAGUAACUGUUCACGUUUCGACGGUAUCUAACCAGAAAGCCACGGCUAACUACGUGCCAGCAGCCGCGGUAAUACGUAGGUGGCAAGCGUUAUCCGGAUUUAUUGGGCGUAAAGCGAGUGCAGGCGGUUCAAUAAGUCUGAUGUGAAAGCCUUCGGCUCAACCGGAGAAUUGCAUCAGAAAC